CAGCAGCCGCGGGAAAACGUAGGUGGCAAGCGUUGUCCGGAAUUAUUGGGCGUAAAGGGCUCGCAGGCGGUUUCUUAAGUCUGAUGUGAAAGCCCCCGGCUCAACCGGGGAGGGUCAUUGGAAACUGGGAAACUUGAGUGCAGAAGAGGAGAGUGGAAUUCCACGUGUAGCGGUGAAAUGCGUAGAGAUGUGGAGGAACACCAGUGGCGAAGGCGACUCUCUGGUCUGUAACUGACGCUGAGGAGCGAAAGCGUGGGGAGCGGACAGGAUUAGAUACCCCUGUAGUCCCUGUCUCUUAUAC
rnacentral:rRNA from 1 species